CCAGACUGAAGAAGAACACUAGGAACCUGCAAUCCAUGGGAUGUCCAGUAGUACAGCACGGGUAAGCAAUAAGCAGGUAAGCAGUAAGGGGCCCAUUGGGCAUCAGAGCUGGGGGG